UGGGGAAUAUUGCACAAUGGGCGCAAGCCUGAUGCAGCCAUGCCGCGUGUGUGAAGAAGGCCUUCGGGUUGUAAAGCACUUUCAGCGGGGAGGAAGGCGAUAAGGUUAAUAACCUUGUCGAUUGACGUUACCCGCAGAAGAAGCACCGGCUAACUCCGUGCCAGCAGCCGCGGUAAUACGGAGGGUGCAAGCGUUAAUCGGAAUUACUGGGCGUAAAGCGCACGCAGGCGGUCUGUCAAGUCGGAUGUGAAAUCCCCGGGCUCAACCUGGGAAAUUCCUUCGAAACUUGGAAGCUAGAGGUCUGUAGAGGGGGGGUGGAUUCCAGGGGGUGCGGGGAAAUUCCUUAGGAUCCGGGGGAAUACCGGUGGCGAAGGCGGCCCCCUGGACAAAGACUGACGCUCAGGUGCGAAAGCGUGGGGAGCAAACAGG
rnacentral:rRNA from 1 species